UACGUAGGUGGCGAGCGUUGUCCGGAUUUACUGGGCGUAAAGAGCGCGCAGGCGGUCGUUCAAGUCGCGUGUGAAAGCCCCCGGCUCAACUGGGGAGGGUCACGCGAUACUGAUCGACUCGAAGGCAGGAGAGGGAAGUGGAAUUCCCGGUGUAGUGGUGAAAUGCGUAGAUAUCGGGAGGAACACCAGUGGCGAAGGCGACUUCCUGGCCUGUUCUUGACGCUGAGGCACGAAGGUCAGGGGAGCAAACGGG
rnacentral:rRNA from 1 species